rnacentral:sRNA from 22 species
GCCCCAAGUCGCACGUGCCUGUGGGCGUCCCCCGGUCCUCGAAUGCGAGGGUUGCCGGGACGGUACCUGGAUCUGACGAUCCAGUCGGUUUCGCUGCUGGCGAAAUCGUGGACGCCUUGAAGCAACGACGGUCCGGGCCUUU